rnacentral:rRNA from 1 species
GGGGGGGGGGGGCGGGGGGGCGGGGGCGGGCGGGGCGGGGGGGCGGGGAAGGGGCGGGCUCCGGGGACGGUGGCGGCGGGCGGGUGAGGGACGCGUGGGUCGCCUGCCUACACGACGGGGAUAACUUCGGGCAACCGGGGCUCAUCGCGGAGAACAUUUGGAACCGCAGGGUUCUAAGGUGACAGAUGGUUUUGCUCGCACUUAUAGAUGGACCCGCGCCGUAUUAGCAAGGGGGUCAGGUAACGGCGUAACAAGGCAACGAUACGUAGCCGCCCUGAGCGGGUGAUCGGCCAAACUGGAACUGAGACACGGUCCAGACUCCUACGGGAGGCAGCAGUAGGGAAUCUUCCGAAAGGGGCGAAAGCCUGACGGAGCAACGCCGCGUGAGUGAUGAAGGGUUUCGGCUCGUAAAAAUCUGUUAUUAGGGAAGAACAAAUGUGUAAGUAACUGUGCACGUCUUGACGGUACCUAAUCAGAAAGCCACGGCUAACUACGUG